AAUCGAUGGUCCACUGACACUUCUGCUCGGAUGGGCUUGGAUCCGACUGCCUUAUCUAUCGCCGCUUCCUAGGGAACCCCGCAGUUUUCCGCUAGCAAACAGGUGGCGUAACUGGGAGCGCGGUGACCGACGAUAUAGAUAUCUGACGCUAAAUCACUUUAGGAAGGCCUUUGAUGAACUUCAGGAAGGCCAGGUUAGUUUUCAUUUAAAGAUGUAUUACUUUUAGAUUUUCUAUUUGAGCUAAAUAUGAUGAAGCAUUGGUAUUGUAACUGUGAUGUGGGUUGUAAAAUGAUUUUCAUUUAUGAUUGGCAGUUUGUGUGGGCUGGUUAUUCUGUGAAUCGCGUGGAUCCGAAUAUAAUUCCUCCUGAAAUCUACAUGCAGUCGGUUGUUUGGAGCGCAACAGUGCCGUUGGUGUCAUUCGAAUGCAUCGAGUGGCAUGCUACCGAUAGGAUUAGGCGACAGUUCAAUUUCGUUCAGGGGGUACCUUGUCAGGAACAGAAUCUGGACAAGGCGCAUGGAGAAGUCCUGACUGGUCCUAAGAAUCUUAACUGGGCCACGGCACCGACUCAUUCAUACUGGGUAAUGCAUUGGACAAACAGGUAUAACCACGUUCUUUCUAAGGUUCCAAUGCCCUCACAAUAUCCAUUGGAGUCUUACAUGAACUGGUACCGAUCUAAAUUUGGCGACCGAUUAUAUUUGUCGAACCUUGUUGUAGAAGAGAAUGAUGAGGGUAAUCAGGAUAUGGAUGAGGGUAACGAGGAGAUGGAUCAGGGUAAUGAGGAUAUGGAAGAGGGUAGUGAGGAUGCGGAUGAUGACAAUGAGGAACAGGAGCCGCUAUCGCCGCCACCACCACCUCCCAAUCCGAUUCCACAAGAUCAACCUUAAUCCUCAGGCCAGUAUGUACCUCAGACACAGUUUACCACGUCAUUUCCAAUGCAUCAACAAUAUUGGGGUAUGCCACAGUUUGAAACAGGAGAAGGAGGUUCUUUUAGCCAAUUGCUUGGGUUCAUGGCUGCAGAUGCUGGACAUUCACAAUAUCGCAGUCAGUCUGAUUUCAUGGCAGGUAGGUAUUCGUUGGAUGCGAGGCUUCCAUGCCAUACCUCAUCGGUUGCUUCUGGAGGAUUCGUGUUAGUUGACUCUAGUAGAAGUGAAGGCGGGCGUGGAGUUCUUAAUAGUCAAAAUCCUAACCGUGUUACCAUGGAACCUCUUGAAGAAGAUGCUAACACACUCGAAGAAGACACCAAUGCGUAUCUAGUAGAUGAACCGGAUGACGAGGAUGAUGCUGACGAGGACGAUAUAGAGGAGUUCGACGACGAUGAGGAAUCGCGUAAUGAUGGUCAUUGUGACACUCCGGAUGACAAAGCCAAAGGUUACAAUCUGAGGAUUGAUCCGCCACGCCGUAGCGCUAAUCGCUACACUCCAUCCGUGUUCAAAAAGGCCGCUAAAAAAUGCAAGAACUUUGUGAAGGACGUGAAGUGGGCAAUGAGAAAGUAGUUGUGGUGUAACUAACUUGUUUGUGUAGUAAUAAUGUCCAUUAGGUUUAGAAUACUUUAUAUGUAUUUGACAGUAUGUAUUAAUGAAAUAGACUGUGGUAACAUUACUUUGUAUGUUCAUAAUCUUUUAGUAUUAAUGAACUUAUUUAUGUAUUAA